AGCAAACUUCAGCAAUGAAUGUCUUGGCUCAAUUGAUGAUGAAGGAUGCAGCCAAACGUGAUACUCAUUAUGAAUUGCAGAAAUCCGUGAAUUAUUGGGAUUUGAACGUGGUGUGCACCUUUGGGAUAUUCCUAAUGGUGUGCUUGAUUCAAUG
rnacentral:rRNA from 1 species